GAUGAACGCUGGCGGCGUGCCUAAUACAUGCAAGUCGAGCGAACAGACGAGGAGCUUGCUCCUCUGACGUUAGCGGCGGACGGGUGAGUAACACGUGGAUAACCUACCUAUAAGACUGGGAUAACUUCGGGAAACCGGAGCUAAUACCGGAUAAUAUAUUGAACCGCAUGGUUCAAUAGUGAAAGACGGUUUUGCUGUCACUUAUAGAUGGAUCCGCGCCGCAUUAGCUAGUUGGUAAGGUAACGGCUUACCAAGGCGACGAUGCGUAGCCGACCUGAGAGGGUGAACCGCCACACUGGAACUGAGACACGGUCCAGACUCCUACGGGAGGCAGCAGUAGGGAAUCUUCCGCAAAGGGCGAAAGCCUGACGGAGCAACGCCGCGUGAGUGAUGAAGGUCUUCGGAUCGUAAAACUCUGUUAUUAGGGAAGAACAAAUGUGUAAGUAACUAUGCACGUCUUGACGGUACCUAAUCAGAAAGCCACGGCUAACUACGUG
rnacentral:rRNA from 1 species